AUGGCUCGUGGCGAUCAUCAAAAUGAUGACGACGAUUUCAUGGAUCCACCUCAACGUAACCGGGCAACUGGACGGAGAAAAGAGGGCGAUGAGAAGAAGAAAUGUAUUCGCAACAGAGCCUCUCAGGAACGUCUUACUGUGUUGAUUGACAAAUUCACUGACGAUCAAAAGGGAGCUGCUGCUGAGAUGGGUAUGCAGGUUCUGAUGGAUGUCCGGUGCACGAACCUUGUCAACCCUGUAUGCGACUGGCUUGGUGAGAUAUACGAUCCCGCCUCUAGGGAAUUCGUGAUUCCGGGACGGGGAAGACUUCCAUUGAAUGAGGAAUCCGUGUUCUGCACUUUGGGUGUGCCUCGUGGACAUAUCAAAGUCCCGUACGAGGUCAAUAAUGAGAUCGAGGAAGAGCUGUUCGCCCGUUUGUUUCCUGAAUUGGAGUCCAUGCCGAACAUGUCUGUACUGGCAGAUUCGCUGCAGGCCAUGAUGAUGCAUGGAGAAGUUUUCAAGAUGAAGCUAGUCAUGUACCUCAUCUCAGCUGUUUUCGCGCCGACCACUUCACUACGCCCAAGAAACAAAUGUUUCCCCAUCCUGGCGAAUCUGAAAAAUGUGAAGAAUAUGAACUGGUGUAAGUUUAUUGCCGACUUUCUCCAUGAUGCUUUCAAAAACAAGAUGUACCAGAAGGGUUGUCGCCUGCAUUUAAUGCUCAUGUAUGUCGACUGUCUUGAUCUGUCCACCGUGGAUUUCACUGGGGUAGGAGGCUCGCCGCCUACGCACAAGUUUGCUGUUUCUGCGUGGACCAUCAGUGCUGUCAAGGCUGUGCUUGCCGCAGACAGGCAACUGAUGGCAUGUAUGGAAAACUACAGGUUAGUUUUUGUUUAUGUCUUUUUCACACAGCAUGCUUACAAAUUUGACAUGACGCAACCGUCCAUGGUUUUAUAA
rnacentral:rRNA from 1 species